AGUCAAGUAAUUAAGUGCAUGUGGUGGAUGCCUUGGCAGUCAGAGGCGAUGAAAGACGUGAUAGCCUGCGAAAAGCUCCGGGGAGGCGGCAAAUAUCCUUUGAUCCGGAGAUGUCUGAAUGGGGGAACCCACCUACUUUAAGGUAGGUAUUGCAACAUGAAUACAUAGUGUUGCAAGGCGAACGAGGGGAAGUGAAACAUCUCAGUACCCUUAGGAAAAGAAAUCAAUUGAGAUUCCCUCAGUAGCGGCGAGCGAACGGGGAUCAGCCCAUUAAGUUAUGUGUGUUUUAGUGGAACGCUCUGGGAAGUGCGAACGUAGAGGGUGAUAUUCCCGUACACGAAAGGGCACACAUAAUGAUGACGAGUAGGGCGAGGCACGUGAAACCUUGUCUGAAUAUGGGGGGACCAUCCUCCAAGGCUAAAUACUCCUGACUGACCGAUAGUGAACCAGUACCGUGAGGGAAAGGCGAAAAGAACCCCUGUGAGGGGAGUGAAAUAGAUCCUGAAACCGCAUGCAUACAAGCAGUGGGAGCACCUUCGUGGUGUGACUGCGUACCUUUUGUAUAAUGGGUCAGCGACUUAUAUUCAGUAGCGAGGUUAACCGUAUAGGGGAGCCGUAGAGAAAUCGAGUCUUAAUAGGGCGUUUAGUUGCUGGGUAUAGACCCGAAACCAGGCGAUCUAUCCAUGAGCAGGUUGAAGGUUGGGUAACACUAACUGGAGGACCGAACCCACUGUCGUUGAAAAGCCAGGGGAUGACUUGUGGAUAGGGGUGAAAGGCUAAUCAAGCCUGGUGAUAGCUGGUUCUCCCCGAAAGCUAUUUAGGUAGCGCCUCGGACGAAUACCAUAGGGGGUAGAGCACUGUUUCGGCUAGGGGGUCAUCCCGACUUACCAAACCGAUGCAAACUCCGAAUACCUAUGAGUACUAUCCGGGAGACAGACUGCGGGUGCUAACGUCCGUAGUCAAGAGGAAAACAAUCCAGACCGCCAGCUAAGGCCCCAAAAUCAUAGUUAAGUGGGAAACGAUGUGGGAAGGCAUAGACAGCUAGGAGGUUGGCUUAGAAGCAGCCACCCUUUAAAGAAAGCGUAAUAGCUCACUAGUCGAGUCGGCCUGCGCGGAAGAUGUAACGGGGCUAAAACUAUGUGCCGAAGCUGCGGAUGUAUACUUUGUAUACGUGGUAGGGGAGCGU
rnacentral:rRNA from 1 species